rnacentral:rRNA from 1 species
GCCAGACUCCUACGGGAGGCAGCAGUGGGGAAUAUUGCACAAUGGGGGAAACCCUGAUGCAGCGACGCCGCGUGAGUGAAGAAGUAUUUCGGUAUGUAAAGCUCUCUCAGCAGGGAAGAAAAAAGACGGUACCUGACUAAGAAGCCCCGGCUAACUACGUGCCAGCAGCCGCGGUAAUACGUAGGGGGCAAGCGUUAUCCGGAUUUACUGGGUGUAAAGGGAGCGUAGACGGCAAUACAAGUCGGAAGUGAAAUACCCGGGCUCAACCUGGGAACUGCUUUGGAAACUGUAUGGCUAGAGUGCUGGAGAGGUAAGCGGAAUUCCUAGUGUAGCGGUGAAAUGCGUAGAUAUUAGGAAGAACACCAGUGGCGAAGGCGGCUUUCUGGACUGAAACUGACGCUGAGGCACGAAAGCGUGGGGAGCGAACAGGAUUAGAUACCCGGGUAAC